UGACAUUUCUAAGUUCGGUCAUUGAGAGAGUUUUCAAGACCAGAACUUGGUGUUCUCUUGCUCUCCUCUACCACCAAAUGAUGAAUCAAAUCUUGGUGAUCAUUCAGGUUGUGGGCCAGCACCAGUUCACGGACCCGAAGGCCCCACCCAAUGUGUAGCCCGCGAACUAGCAGCAUCUGCAAGCAUCCGGGAACUUGUUAGACAUGCAGAUUCCUCGGCCCCACUCCAGACCCCUCGAACGUGCACCUGAGCUUUAGGAAGAUCUCCAGGUACCCGGGCUCUCUACCCCCAGGACCAGUCUCCAUCCAUUACUCUACCAACUUGCCUGGAAUCAUGGUGUGAAAAAUGGUACCAGAACUGUUACCGAGACAGCUGUCUUUUGGGGGGGAAAUAAAUUCUUGCGGGGAAGAAAGUGAGGAACUCAAGUAAGGAAAUGAAGACAUUAAGCUGUGCUGCAUGAGGAAAUGAGAGAAAUUUGUGUUUUGGUUCUUGAGAGGCCUGGAGAGAAGAGCAGGAGAGACAAAGGACCAAGUUGAAGAGAAGAACAAUUUAGGAAGGGGAUUAUAAUGGGGAUAAUUAACAGUGAAACAUCCCUCAGCCAAAAUAACUUUGAAGGUUAGAGAUAUCUAAAAUGUGAUUUUAGGUUGUUCAUCUGAUACAUGAUGUGACUACUAAAACUUUUGUGACGUCUAUGCCAUGGAUGUUUUGUGAAAGAGGAGUUUGGGUAUAUGUGUGUGUGUCUCCAUGUGUUGUGCAUACAUAUCAAGGAAGGGCUUGGUUUUCCUCUGUGUCAAUGUGAGAACGGGGACACUCUGUACUAAAAGGCCACGUAUAGCCCAAAGACAGAAGUACCAUCAA